AGAAAAAACAAAUAGUGGUGAGAUCGGGCUGCUAACCUGGUCUUGGGGAGUGAUUAGAGUGCCCCCUUUUUCUU
rnacentral:tRNA from 1 species